UACGUAGGGUGCGAGCGUUGUCCGGAAUUAUUGGGCGUAAAGAGCUCGUAGGCGGUUUGUCGCGUCGGGAGUGAAAUCCACUGGCUUAACUGGUGGCUUGCUUUCGAUACGGGCAGACUGGAGGUAUGCAGGGGAGAACGGAAUUCCUGGUGUAGCGGUGAAAUGCGCAGAUAUCAGGAGGAACACCGGUGGUGAAGACGGUCUCCUGGGCCGAGAGCCGACGCUGAGGCGCGAGAGCGUGGGGAGCGAACCGG
rnacentral:rRNA from 1 species